CAAUCGACCACGGGGAGCCCGGACACGCCGGGCUGAGAGGAGGGCCGCCGCCCUCGACCCGUCGAACCUGAUCCGGGUAACGCCGGCGUAGGGAUGGCCCGCAACGCACCA
rnacentral:ncRNA from 2 species